rnacentral:misc_RNA from 1 species
GAUGAAGAACGUAGCGAAAUGCGAUAAGUAAUGUGAAUUGCAGAAUUCAGUGAAUCAUCGAAUCUUUGAACGCACCUUGCGCUCCUUGGUAUUCCGAGGAGCAUGCCUGUUUGAGUGUCAUUAAAUUCUCAACCUCACCAGUUUUGUAACGAGACAGGUGAAGGCUUGGAUGUGGGGGUUUUGCAGGCUGCCUCAGUGCUGGUCUGCUCUCCUGAAAUGCAUUAGCGAGCUCAUAUUGAGCUUCCGUCUAUUGGUGUGAUAAUUAUCUACGCCGUGGAUUGGACUCAUGCUUGCUUCUAACCGUCCGCAAGGACAAUUUACUUGACCAAUUUGACCACAAAUCAGGUAGGACUACCCGCUGAACUUAAGCAUAUCAAUAAGCGGAGGA